rnacentral:rRNA from 1 species
UGAUGACUCUGGAUAACUUUACUGAUCGCAGUCGGCCUCGUGCUGGCGACGGAUCUUUCAAAUGUCUGCUCUAUCAAUUUUCGAUGGUAGGUGACCUGCCUACCAUGGUGAUAACGGGUAACGGGGAAUCAGGGUUCGAUUCCGGAGAGGGAGCCUGAGAAACGGCUACCACUUCCAAGGAAGGCAGCAGGCACGCAAAUUACCCAAUCCCAGAACGGGGAGGUAGUGACGAAAAAUACAGAUACGGGACUCACUUGAGGCUCCGUAAUUUGAAUGAGUACAAUUUAAAUCCUUUAACGAGGAUCAACUGGAGGGCAAGUCUGGUGCCAGCAGCCGCGGUAAUUCCAGCUCCAGAAGCGUAUAUUAAAGUUGUUGCAGUUAAAAAGCUCGUAGUUGGAUCUGGGUCGUAUUGCUACGCGCCGUUGCUUGCAUUGUGGUCCUGGUUACGACUGGGACAACUUUGUGAGUCGG